UGUAAUUUACUUUAGCACUUGAGAAUAACAUUAUCAUCAUCCUUGAGCUUUAGAUAGUUCUUUCAAAGCAUUAGCAAUUUUUUCCACACUUGUUUCAGUAAUACAUGCAACAAGAGGACUCUUAUCAGUUACCUGAGUGCCUGUGCUCUAGAUGCAAGGAGCGGAAUGACCUGCAUAUAUGUUGACCUUCUGCAGUACAUAGGAUGACAUCGUAGGCCUCGCAUGCGAAGCUUCUGCCUCAAGUCAUCAACUCUCUUUGCCUGAAAAUAACAAUUACAAGGAUCAUUUCAAUCAAUAACACAGAAUGUCAAAAUACGAGUAAAUAGACAUUUUAGUCCUUGAAAUUGUAAAGGUCGGUCGAUUUUGUUCCUCAAAUUUGCAAGAUCGCAAUUUUGUCCCUUAAGUUGAAAAAUACCAAUCAAUUUAGUCCUUUUCUUAUUUUGCUGUAUAAUUUUAAAGGUUCUAUGUUUGUCUUGAUGCAUCAAAAGACUAUUUAACUCAAUGUGUAUGUUUUUUAUUUGUUUUAAUUGAUGUUUACUAAAGAAGUAUUUUGAUGGAGGGACGAAAUUGAUUGCUAUUUCAAAAUUUGAGGGAUUGAAUUGACCGACCGUUACAAUUUGAAAGACUAAAAUAUCUAUUUACUCAUCAAAAUACAGAAGUGAAUUUCAUCAUGUACCUUACUAAGAUCCUUUAUUUUGUAUGAGAUGCAAUGUGCGUUACUUGAUUUC
rnacentral:lncRNA from 1 species